UACGAAGGGGGCUAGCGUUGCUCGGAAUCACUGGGCGUAAAGCGCACGUAGGCGGCUUUCUAAGUCAGGGGUGAAAUCCUGGAGCUCAACUCCAGAACUGCCUUUGAUACUGACGGUCUUGAGUUCGGGAGAGGUGAGUGGAACUGCGAGUGUAGAGGUGAAAUUCGUAGAUAUUCGCAAGAACACCAGUGGCGAAGGCGGCUCACUGGCCCGAUACUGACGCUGAGGUGCGAAAGCGUGGGGAGCAAACAGG
rnacentral:rRNA from 1 species